rnacentral:lncRNA from 1 species
CGUCCCUACCAAUAAAUGAUGCUAGUAGCAAGUCUCGUACGACCGGCUACCGACCGAUGAACCUUGAACCUGGCAACUCUGCUUCCGUCGGUGCUUGCUCUGCGCACGGGCGCGCGGUCCCGAAGUCCCGAUGUACGUCCAAUCGUAGAACCUUUAUUUGAUUUUUUUUUUCUGUUUAUAGGCGAGGUAUAUGGAGUGAUUCCAGCUAAUACGUACGUAGUACGUUUGCCCAACUUGCACGCAUGGGAGGUAAAUUAAUCCGGCCGAAAGCUUAGGCGCGUCCGCGCCCAUGUGAGGCAAGUUAAUCCAGCCAAAAUGUUCCAGCAAGUCUCAGCUCACCCAUGUCGUACGUACCAGCUGAUAUCCAACCAAUUAUUAUGGACAAAAAGUUCACACACG